GAAGAGGGCUCUCAAAGUGCUGCCCGCGGACCCGAGGACAGAAACGAAGCCGAAGUGUUUAGUAACUCAGGCAGUAACUUUGUCCACUGAAUCAGAAAACAAACCCGAAGGUUGCACGUUGUAUGACUUGUUUCAUAUUUCUAGCCGUUCAUUGCUAUUGUAUUUUACACAUGUAUUGGUCCAGGACAGAUUGGGAAAUUUAAAAACAAACAAAUUUGUCUUUCAACACACAGAGUCUGAGAAGCAUUAGUCUGGGUGAAAGUACGACCCAUUCAAAGUGGUCUUCAUCGCACUCGUAGAGAACGGACGUGAGGGCACGGAUGGGGCGAAGGAUGCAGUUUCAACACCCGGCGUCCUCAAGAUCACAGCCAGCAGACCAGACCAGGGCCUGUUACAGGGAUAUUAAACUUCUCACUGUCACCCUGUAUACAACUUCAGGAUAAAGUUCACCCCCUUGGCCUCCAACCUUACUGCUCACCCUGGCCCAAGAACUCUCCAUUUCAGUGAAGAGAGGCUGUUCCUGGCUAACAAACACACUCAAUUCAAUCACAUCUCCAACCUUUGCUCGUGCAGCAUGCCUGGAAAGGAUGCUCUCCUGCAUCCAAACAUGAAAUCCUACUGUUCUUUAAUUCCACACCCUCCUACAAAAGCCUUCUCUCAUCCCUGCAGUGUCUGGCAUCUCUGUGCUUCUUGAAAACGUGCAGCCUGUGAGAUCCCUCCAUCCCUCCCCCACAUCUUUCAGACAGAAGCUGCUCUGCCUCUGGCCAUUUUACCAAGGGACUCAAAUUUGUUACUCUUCAAACUGCAGUGAUGAUGAAAACAUUCUAAAAUUAGAUAUUGGUGAUGGUGUAUCACCAUAACUCUGUUAAUAUACUAAAAACUACUGAAUUGUACACUUUAGUUUUUUAUAUAAAUUUAAAAAUUUAUUUUUGGCUGCGUUGGGUCUUUGUUGCUGCGCGCGGGCUUUCUCUAGUUGCGGAAGGCGGGGGCUACUCUUCCUUGCGGGGCGCGGGCUUCUCAUUGCAGUGGCUUCUCUUGUUGCGGAGCACCGGCUCUAGGUGGGCAGACUUCAGUAGUUGUGGCUCACGGGCUCAUGGGCUUAGUUGCUCCAUGGCAUGUGGGAUCUUCCCGAGCUCGAACCCGUGUCCCCUUCAUUGGCAGGCAGAUUCUUAAGCACAGCGCCACCGGGGAAGCCCUGAACUGUUCACUUUAAAAGGAUGAAUUUUAUGGUAUGUGAAUUAUUGAAUUUUAUGGUAUGUGAAAUAUAUCUCAAGAAAACUGUUAUUUUUAUAUUAAAAAACUGCACUGAGGUUGUAACCUCACUCCUCACUCCUGUAUCUUAAUAUCCUCCUCCUUGGUUAGAUAUUCCUCCAGUAUUAGAAUAUGGAAUCCAGGACAGUGCAAGAUAUUUCAAAGUACAGUCUAUAUAUACACAGUCAGUAAAUAAAUAAGGCACUGAGUCCAACUCAGCAGGGCAAAAUUUAGGCAAUCAGAUACAGCUUUUGGUCAAAAGCUGUUGAAAGGUUUAUGGAGUGAAAGAAUGGGUAUAAAGUGAUCUCUAGAAUAAAUUAUGUAUUUUUAAAAGUCAGAACAAAGGCUGUUCUUCUGUACAAACUUCUGGAGAGUUUCCAGGUACAUCAGGGAGAAUGAAGAAUAAUGUGUUGGGGGGAACAAUCUUGGCUAAAAAUUGUAGAUCAAUUCCUGAUUCACUGGAAGGAAACAUCUUUUAUGCCAAAAAUGCAUAAUAUAAAUCUAAUCAUGAGGAAACAUCAGGAAAAAAAACACACCAGAUUAAGUAACAUUCUACAAAAUAACUGGCCUGUACUUUUCAAAGAUGUCAAUGUCAUGAAAGGAAAGGAAAGGCAGAUAAAAACGUUCAUGAUGAAAGGAAACUAAAGAGUCAUAAAAACAAAUCGCAACGCUCUAUCCUAGACUGGAUCCUGGACCAGACACCAUUUCUAUGAAGAAUAUUAUUGGGACUACUGGGGACACUUGAAGAAAAUCUAUAAAUUAAAUAAUAGUAUUAUAUUAAUGUUAAAUAUCUUGAUUUUGAGAAUGAAUUCUUUCUAAGUGAAUAUCCUUGAUCUCAGAAAAUACACAUUGAAUUAUUUAAGGAGUCAGGGCUGAAAUGUCCUUUCAUUUCAUACACUAUAGAUACUCUACAUAUAUAUAUAUAUAUAUAUAUAUAUAUAUAUAUAUAUAUAUAUGGAGAGAGAGAAUUACAAAGCAAAUGCAACAAAAUGUUAACAACUAGUAACUCUGGGUAAAGCAUAUAUGGCAAUUCCUUAUACUAUUCUUGCAACAACUUUGCUGUAAGUUUGAAAUUAUUUUGAAAUUAAAAGUUUUAAAAAAUGUGGGUUAAAUAAACAUAUACAUUUAUCUCAGUUCCCUACUGAAAACGCCGUGGAAAUAACUACAGAGGGGUAGAAAAGCUAUAAAUUCCACCAGGAGAAAGUGAUUGGGAGAAAAGAUAACAGCAGAGGAGAAAUGGCAACAGAUUUUUGUAAGAUGAAAAGUCAGAUGAUUGACUUAGCAGAACAGAUAAAGCUAAAAAGCUUUUUACAAUCAGAAGCAAGCAGAUUCCUGCCCUAGUCUUGCAGAGAUCAUUCAGCUAUAGCCCAUGGGCCACACAGGACCCACAACUUAUUUUUGUAAAUUGUUUUUGUAAAUAAAGUUUUAUUGGAGUACAGUCAUACUCAUUUGUUUGCAUACUGUCUAUGGCUGAUUUCAUACAAUAGCUGAGUUGAGUAGUUACCUGUAAAGCCUAAAAUAUUUAUUAUCUGACCCUUAUACAGAAAACAUUUGCCAAUCCCUGCCUUAGAGCCCUGCAAAGUCUUAGGAGCUAGAGGUAUGGGGAGUCUCUGAAGGCAGGGGUGUGAUGGUGUGGGAAAUGGUCAUCUGCCAUAGACCUUGAGUGUCCCUGCAUGUUCCUGCUGGGUGUGCCGAGAACGCAAGGCAAAGACUCAAUAGUGGAGCAUUGCUGUUUAAUGGGUAUAGAAGUUCAGUUCUGCAAGAUGAAAAGAGUUCUGGAAAUGGGUAGUGGUGAUGGUUGCAUGACAAUAUAAAUGAAUGUCCUUAAUGCUACUUAACUGUACACUUAAAAAUGGUUAAGAUGAUAAAUUUUAUAUUAUGUGUAUUUUACCACACACACACACACACACACACACACACACACACACACACA